GUACGUUUCGAAAGUAAUUUCUGUCCCUCUUGUAUCACACAAACAUUACGACCAAAAAGUAAAAAACAUUCUCCCAUGACCCAAUCACACCCAUUUUUUUCUUUAGUGUUCCCUUCUACUUUGUUUCACAUAUGUGCGUGCUUUUACAUUAAACUAAUACAGAUUAAGUCUUCUGAUUUUCUUUACACAUAACACUUUUUCAUGUUUCUCAAAUUAUUACUUUACAUAUUUGAUAUCCUAUUCUGAAGAAACGGUUUUUUUUUUUUUUUUUGGAGACAGGGUCUUGCUCUGUUGCCCAGGCUAAAGUGCAGUGGCACCAUCUCAGCUCACUGCAACCUCCUCCCAAGCUCAAGUGAUCCUCCCACCUCAGCCUCCUGAGUAGCUGGGACUACAGGAGCAUGCCACCAUGCCUGGCUAAUUUUUGUACUUUUUGUAGAGACGGGGUCUUGCCAUGUUGCUCAGGCUGGUCUCAAACUCCUGGGCUCAAGUAAUGCUCCUACCUCGGCCUCCCAGAGUGCUGGGAUUACAGAUGUGCACCACCACACCUGCCAGUUUUACUUUUUAAUGACAGUUGUUUUAUCCUGUAAAAUCUGUUUGGUCUUUGUAUAUUAGAGCUUUCUUUUUAUAUUAAUUCUAGAAUUGGACUACUGUUUGAUUUGUAUGCUUUCCAUUAUUUGACAAUGACUUAAGAUUCUGAGUGAUGGCCGGCUGUGGUGGCUCACACCUGUAAUCCCAGCACUUUGGGAGGCUGAGGCAGGAGGAUUGCUUGAGCCCGGGAGUUCAAGACCAGCCUAGGCAACAUGACGAAACCCCGUCUCUACAGAAAAAAAAAAAAAAAAAAAUUAGCUGGGCUUGGUGGUGUGUGCCUGUAGUCCCAGCCACUCCUGAGGCUGAGGCAGGAGGAUUGCUUGAGCAUAGAAGGUGGAGGCUACAGUGAGCUAUGAUCACACCACUGCACUCUAGCCUGGGCAACAGAGUGAGACCCUGUCUCCAAAACAAAUAAAUAAAAAGAUUCUGAGUAAUAAAUUAGAUCAUUAGCCACAAUCCUUUGAUGAAAUAAGUGAAGGUCCCAACAAGAAAAUUUGUCAAUAGAAGAAUGUAAGGGAAUUGACCACCAGAUUCUUCUUUUCCUCCAUGGUAUUCUGACCUUAGCUCUGUGUGUGUGUGUGUGUGUGUGUGUGUGUGUGUGUGUGUGUGAUGUAACAGUAGUUGUUAUGUAAACAAUUCAUUAUUUUAAAUCAGUUACUAAGAAUAAACUUUAAUGAUGAGUUGCAAAAUGAAUACUGAAAGCUUUACUAAUUGGAACGGUAUAGUACUCCAAAGAAUAUCUGUGUCCAUAGAGACAAGUGAAGGUGAGGAGUUUCAAGCAGUUGAGCAAUUCGCAGGUCUCACAAAACAGCAAAAUCAAGACCAACAUGAUGUCAGCUCCCUGCAUCUCUAAUCCCAUGGGACAGCAUUCCCAAUCUCAGAGGUCAGAUGACAGGUCUUAUGAGUGGUGGGUCACUCUGUCGAGGAACAAACUGUAAACUUCAGCAAGCAGUUCUACAGAUUUACACAGAAGCCUGCGGCUCCAUCCUAAAGUGGAGCAGGUUGUAGGGGGUGCGGAGAAAGAAGGGGAAGAUGGAAAGCCCUAGCCUCAACUAGACUAGGGACAUGGAUGAGAAACACCCUUGUGAGACUCUCCCACAAGAUAGGGAAGCCCUGUGGGCAAGGUCAUCCGUGAGCUGAAUGGGAACCUCCCUGGCAUGGCCUUUUGUGUCCCCACUGCCAACGUGUCAGUUGUGGGCCUGAACUGCCAUCUGGAAAAACCUGCCAAAUAGGAUGACAUCAGGAAGGUGGUGAAGCAGGCUUCAGAGGGCUCUUCAAGGGCAUCCCGGGCUACACCGAGCACCAGAUCGUCUCCUCCAACUUCAACAGUGACACCCACUCUUUCACCUUCGAUGCUGGAGCUGGCAUUGCCCUCGACGACCACUUUGUCAAGCACAUUUCCUGAUAUGACAGUGAGUUUGGCUACAGCAACAGGGUGGCGAAGCCCACAUGGCCUCCAAGGAGUAAGACCCCCGGACCACCAGCCCCAGCGAGAGCACGAGAGGAUGAGAGAGACUCUCACUGCUGCGGAGUCCCUGCCCCACUCAGCCCCCGCCCCCACUGAGAAUCUCCCCUCCUCACAGUUUCCACGCAGACCCCCUGAAGAGGGAGACACCUUGGGAGCCCCACCUUGUCGUGUACCAUCAAUAAAGUUUCCUGCACUCAAUCAAAAAAAAAAAAAAAAAAGGGAAGCCUUGCCUUGCUCCCAGGGAAAUCACAGACAUUCGGCCAGGACUCAGGGUAGACUGCAGUCAGGCCUUGGCUAUGUGGCUAUGUGGAGAUGUCCAAGGUGGUCAGGGGUCUCAGGAGUGCUGUUUUAUGAAAAUGGAGAAAUUUGAAAGACAUUUAAUUCUUCCUUUUUAUCCCCCUCCUCCCUUUCUUCCCCCCCGCCUUUUCCUACAGGUACGAUAUUCAUCGAAUUUUAAGUGUUGGGGAUAAAGUGGUGAGCCAGAGUUCUAAAGGAGGAGAAACGGUAAACAAAGUAAACGAUUUAAGUUGUCAGAUGAUUCAAAGUGCUACAGAAAAAAAGCAGGGAAGGCCAGGCGCGGUGGCUCAUGCCUGUAAUCCCAGCACUUUGGGAGGCCAAGGUGGGCGGAUCACUUGAGGUCAGGAGUUCGAGACCAGCCUGGCCAACAUGGUGAAACCUCGUCUCUACUAAAAAUACAAAAAUUAGUUGGGCAUGGUGGCGCGCACCUGUAAUUCCAGCUACUCGGGAGGCUGAGGUAGGAGAAUCACUUGAACCUGGGAGGCGGAAGUUGCAGUGAGUCCAGAUCAUGCCACUGCACCCCAGUCUGGGUGAUAGAGUGAGACUGUAUCUCAGAAAAAAACAAAAACAAAAGCAACACAAAAAAGCAGGUAAGAGUGGAAGGGGGUGCUAGGUUGGGUGAUAAAAGGCCUCCUGAGAUGACAGAUGAGCAAAGACCUAGAGGAGUGGAAGCACUGAGCCAGGCCGACCCUGGGAAGAUAAUUCUGAGGUAGAGACGGGAGAGCAGCAGUGCGAUAGGCCUGUUAGAACAGCCGGGAGGCCAAGUGGAGCGGAAGCCCUUUGAAGGCAGGUAAGAAUGAGAACAGAAGAAAGAGAGAGAGAUGGCCAGAGGCUCAUAGACGAGAAGACCAGACUAAAGCUAUUUCUUGUCUCAAAGUCUUCCUGGAGGUGUUGCCAUGUCGGCUAAGUCUUGAAGGAGGAGUUGGCUGUUAAGAAAGUGGGAAAAGGAGCCAGGUAUGGUGGCUCACGCCUGUAGUCCCAGCACUUUGGGAGGCCAAGGCGGGCGGAUCACUUGAGGUCAGGAGUUUGAAACCAGCCUGGCCAACAUGGCGAAACCCCAUCUCUACUAAAAAUACAAAAAUUAGCUGGGCAUGGUGGCACACGCCUGUAAUCCCAGCUACUAGGGAGGCUGAGGCAGGAGAAUCACUUGAAUCCAGGAGGUGGAGGUUCCAGUGAGCUGAGAUCUCACCACUGCACUCCAGCCUGGGUGAUAGAUUGAGACUCCAUCUCAAAAACAAACAAGAAAGAGAGAAGAAAGAGAAAGAAAGAGAAAAGAAAAAACAAAAUCAAAGAGAGAAAGAGAGAGAGAGGGAGGGAAAAGAAAAGGAAAAGAAAAUAAAAAGAAAAGAAGGAAAAGGGUGUGCCAGACAGUGGAGUGGCAACUAUCUACCAACGUGGAGAAAGGGAACUUGAAGUCCUUCAGUUACCUGGGGUAGAGCAUCCAUGCCUGUGGGAAAUAGCGAGAGAUGUGGUUGAAGAGGUCAGCAGGACCUGGUCCAUCCCGGAGGACCACAUGUACUAUUCAGCCAAGGAGAGCUAAAUUGUCAUUGCAGAGAAGAGAGCAAAACCAUGGAUGCACCAUUCGUGAGGCUUGGGUCCAACCCUACAGCCAUUACAUCAAAAUGGUGGUGGGAAUUAGGGAUCAGACUGGGGUUUGUAUCUUUUUUUCCCCAGGUAAUUGAAUGUACUGCCAGGGUUAAGAAAUGUUCAUCUUGACAGUACUAAAGAUUCAAUGCAAUCCCUAUGAGAAUCCCAAAGGAUUUUUUUUAUAGAAAAAGAAAAACCUAUUCGGAAACUCAUGCUAUGGUUUUUAUUUUAUUUUAUUUUAUUUUAUCUUAUUUAUUUUUGAGACAGAGUCUCACUCUGUUGCCCAGGCUAGAGUGCAGUGGCAAGAUCUUGGCUCACUGCAACCUCCGGCUCCCAGGUGCAAGCAAUUCUCCUUGCCUCAGCCUCUCAAGUAGCUGGGAUUACAGGUGCCCACCAGCAUGCCUAGCUAAUUUUUGUAUUUUUAGAAGAGAUUUUUAGAAGAAGGGUUUUUGCCAUGUUGGCCAGGCUGGUCUUGAACUCCUGACCUCAAGUGAUCCGCCCACCUCGGCCUCCCAAAGUGCUGGGAUUACAGGCAUGAGCCACCGCGCCUGGCCCCUUCUUGCAUCUCGAGACAAGACACACAUGGCUAGGCAAUGAGAUGGGGAAUGGCAGCCCAGGAGAAGAAAAUACUUUCAAAAGAGGUCUUAAAAGAACAUUCUGGAUUUAGAGAAAAAAGCAGAGAACAAUGUAGCGUCCAUCCCUCUCCUCUUCUGGAUUCUUACAGUGACGAUAAUUCCAGAAUGUCUCAGCUGAAGAUAUGGACUGAUACCUGAACUCAGUGCAGUAUUUCCCGCGGAAACACCACAGACCGGGUUCUGCCCGCAGCCAGGACUAGGCUAUCAGAGAAAGGCCUGGCUGUGCUGAAGCUGCCAUGAGCCUCAGUACCCCCACGGGACCUUUCCCAUCGUCUAGGACUUCAAACACAAACAACUGCCCAGUAGGUUUUUCUAACAUUUUGCUUUUGGUCCUUCACUUGGAAAUGCACUGAUUUCACCAGGAAAAUAUUUGUGAGGUGAAAAAAAAAGAUUUUCAUGAAAACGCAAAUAUUUUAAAAAUGUAGCUUUAUGCAAAAGCAAGCUGAAAGGUUUCUUGUUGCGUUGUUGUACGUUGAAGCUCAGUCACUUUGCCGACAUUGAGUUUCUUUUUUCUCCCAGUCACCCUUCUCCACCAAUGCUACUAUUUAAGCGAAGUGUCGGAAAUUAGCUUCUCAUGUGACCACCCAAUUCGGUUCCAGUCCUUUGGAAAUGUAAUCCUAUUCGGUGUGUCUGCAGACUUGGAGUGACAUUGGGUUUGUUCCCCUAGAAAAAUGAGUCAAAUCGAAUAGGCGUUUAGUCCUGUGCCUUUACCAUAAUUAAAAACGAGUUAAGCUGAUUGUAGCAUGUGUCCAGAAUUUAGGUGGUUUUGCUUUAUAAAGAGAAGAGGUGCAAACCACAGGCCACUUUCUCUCAUGAUAAACAGCGCCUGGAGGCAGCGUGGAGGAGACACAUCCAUCAUCCACGUUUCUAGGAAUAAUGGACAGGAGAGAACCUGGGGAACCCGGCGUGCAGUACCGCUCACCGCCCAGCCUCGCCCCCGGGCCCGCGACCAAUGGGAGGCGGCCGGGCCGGGAGCGCGGCCAAUGGCAGCGGCCGGAGGAGACGCGGCCCUUUAAGAAGCGGCGGGUGCGAGAGGGGGCAGAGCACCGGACAACAACAGCAGCAGCAACAACGGGGUCGCCGCCACCAUGGCCCUGCAGGUGACUUUGCUCUUCACAAAACAACUGUUCUGGUUGUGCUACUGUUCGUGGACCAAGCUGAGAGCCUGGCUGCUUAUUCUCUCAGCUCAAUAACGAGAUGCAGAUAAACUGGGAAAGAAGAGAUUUGAUUUCUGUAGCUGGGUGCAAGGAGAAGGCCUGCAAAUUAUUGCGAAGCCAACUCAAAAUUACAGAGUUUUCCAGAGCUUAUAUGCCUGCUAAGUUAUAUGUCUGCAUGCCUUUGGAUCCAAAGGGAGCUCUGGCAUCAGAGAAGAAGUAUGGUGGGCAGGGGGUGGCCAGCAUAUGUCCUUGAACUUCCCCUGUUUGACAGCCAGCCUACUGACAAUUCCUGCUUACCCUGAGUUUUAAAAAAUAAGGCAAGGCUGAUUUUGACAGGGCUGCAGAAGAUGUGAGGAAGCUGAAAGCAAGACCAGAUGCUGGAGAACUGAAAGAACUCUAUGGGCUUUACAAACAAGCAAUAGUUGGAGACGUUAAUAUUGCGUGUCCAGGAAUGCUAGAUUUAAAAGGCAAAGCCAAAUGGGAAGCGUGGAACCUCAAAAAAGGGUUGUCGACGGAAGAUGCGAUGAGUGCCUAUAUUUCUAAAGCAAAGGAGCUGAUAGAAAAAUACGGAAUUUAGAAUACAGCGUAUGAGGAAUUUUUCCUUUUGAAGACUUCCAAAUGCUAUCAUGACCUAACAUUUAGAGGGAGAGGCAUACUGUUAACUUGAUGUAUCAUGCAUAUUUUUGCUAUUAGCAUGAGCUGUAAUACUUAGAAGUAUACUGAAACUACAUAGUUAACUCAAUUGUACUUGCUUAAACCAGGUGUCUUUAAAAGUUCUUUUUAAGAAAAUGUGGCACAUAUACACCAUGGAAUACUAUGGAGCCAUAAAAAGGGAUGAGUUCAUGUCCUUUGCAGGGACAUGGAUGAAGCUGGAAACCAUCAUUCUCAGCAAACUAUCACAAGAUCAGAAAACCAAGCAUGUUCUCACUCAUAAGUGGGAGUUGAACAAUGAGAACACAUGGACACAGGGAGGGGAACAUCACACACUGGGGCCUGUCGGGGAAUAGGGGGCUAGGGGAGGGAUAACAUUAGGAGAAAUACCUGAUGUAGGUGACCGGUUGAUGGGUGCAGCAAACCACCAUGGCACAUGUAUACCUAUGUAACAAAACUGCACGUUCUGCACAUGUAUCCCAGAACUUAAAGUAUUAAAAAAAAAAAAUUCUUUUAGAAAAGUAUUUUUUAUUUUUAUAGAGUUAGGGAGUACAAUUGCAGUUUUUGUUUGUUUGUUUGUUUUUUCUUGAGGAGUCUCACUCUGUCACCCAGGCUGGAGUGCAGUCGUGUGAUCUCGGUUCACUGCAACCUCCGCCUCCUGGGUUCAAGUGAUUCUCUUGCCUCAGCCUCCCGAGUAGCUGGGAUUACGGGUGCUUGCCACCGUGGCUGGCUAAUUUUUGUAUUUUUAGUAGAGACGGGGUUUUGCCAUGUUGGCCAGGCUGGUCUCGAACUCCUGACCUCAGGUGAUCUGCCCACCUUGGCGCUGGGGUUGCAGGUGUGAGCCACCACACCUGGUCACAGGUGCAGUUUUGUUACAUGGAUAUAUUGUGUAGUGGGGAAAUCUGGGCUUUUAGUGUAACCAUCACCCAAAUACUGUACAUUGUACCCAAAAGGUAAUUGCUCAUCCCUCACCCCCUCCCACCUUUCCAAGCCUCCAGUGUCUAUUAUUCCACACUCCAUGACCCUGUGUACACACUGUUUAACUCCCACUUAUAAGUGAAAACGUGGUAUUUUUUUUUGUUUCUGAGGGUUUUAAAAAAAUCUUUAUUUUCUUAUUUUUUUCUGAGUUGUUUCACUUAAGAUAAUAGCCUCCAGUUCCACCCACGUUGCUGCAAAAGCCGUAAUUUCAUUCUCUUUAUAUGGCUGAGUAAUAUCCCCUGGUAUACAUAUACAACGUUUUCUUUAUCCCAUCAUCUGCUGAUGGAUACUUAGGUUGAUUCCAUAUCUUUGCUAUUGUGAAUUUUGCUGCAAUAGACAUACAAGUGCAGGUAUCUUUUGGAUAGAAUGAUUUAUUUUCCUUUAAGAAGAUACCCAGUAGUGGGAUUGCUGGGUAGAAUGGUAGUUCUAUUUUUAGUUCCAUGAGAAAUUUCCGUGCUGUUUUUCACAGAGGUUGUACUAAUUUACAUUCCCACCAAUAGUGUAUAAGCAUUCCCUUUUCUCCACAUCUGUUGUUUUUUGACUUUUUAGAAAGUCUCGCCCUGGUAAUAUGUGUACAGAUUUGAACAGCUGUUUGUUCUUUUGGCUCAUCUGUUCUGUUACAAUAAGUUAAUGUUACUGGUGAAAUAAAAACAGGUUAUUAAGAAUCAAUGGCAAGGCUGAGCGUGGUGGCUCACGCCUCUAAUCUCAGCACUUUGGGAGGCUGAGGUAGGUGGAUUACUGAGGUCAGAAGUUCGAGACCAGCCUGACCAACAUUGCAAAACCCCAUCUCUACUAAAAAUACAAAAAUUAGCCAGCCAUUGGUGGUGCACACCUGUAAUUCCAGCUACUUGGGAGGCUGAGGCAGGAGAAUUGCUUUUACCCAGGAGAUGGAGGUUGCAGUGAGCCAAGAUCACACCACUGCACUCCAGCCUGGGCGACAAAACAAGACUCCGUCUCAAAUAAAAAAAAAAAAAAAUUACAAGUCUGUCCAUAGCAGUUUAAAGAAAUUUAAAAAGCCACCAUAGGAAUAUCUAUUUUUCUUUAAAUUUUUACAUUUAAGACAUUUAAGACAAAAAGGCAAACUAAAAUGUAUCUAGUGAUAAACUGUACCACUACUGUACCCCAUAUGUUGAGUUCUAUCUGAGUAAAAAUAGAGUCUGGAAGAUAAUAUUGGCCCCCUACUCAGUCUUUCUGGAUAGUACACAGGCUCUUUGAAAGAAGACAGUCUCAUGUUAACAAUUCAAAAAAUUGUUUGAGAUCCCUUAAGAUAAAUAUCCCCCAAAACAGUGUACCUCUAUUCCCUGCAUAAAAAUUUAGAUUUGGAAUGGUAUGACCAGAGGAAUAGAUCCACUUCAUGUUACUACAAGAACAAAACUAUCUAGGUCUGCUAGAUGAAUUUCCAGGGAAUUAUGCUGAGCAGAAAAAGCCAGUCCCCAAAUGUGACAUGUAUAAUUCCAUUUAUAUAACAUUCUUUUUCUUUUCUUUUUUUUUUUUUUGUAGAGACAGGCUGUCACUCUGUUACCCAGGCUGGAGCGCAGUGGCACGCUCUCGGCUCACUGCAACCUCCGCCUCCCAGGGUCAAGCAAUCCUCCCAUCUCAGCCUCCAGAGUAGCUGGGACUACAGGUGCGUGCAACCAUGCCCAGCUAAUUUUUGUAUUUUUCAUAGAGACAGGGUUUCACCAUGUUGCCCAGGCUGGUCUGGAACUCCUGAUCUGAGGUGAUCUACCCACCUUGGCCCCCCAAAGUGCUGAGACUAUAGGCAUGAGCCACCGCGUCCAGCCAGGAUUCUUGAAAGGGAAAAUUUAUAGAUGCAAAGGAUGGAAUAGUGGUUGCCAGGGAGGAGGGAGGUGGGUGUGGCUUUAAAAGGGCAGCAGGAGGGAUGAUCCUGCAGUGAUGGAAUGUUCUGUCUUGAUUGUAGCAACACCAAUAUCCUGAUUGUGAUAUUAUACUAUAGUUUUGCAUAACAGUUACCAUUAAAGGAAAUUGGGUAAAAGGCUACACAAA